rnacentral:rRNA from 1 species
AAACCUGAGAAACCCGAAAGAUCGAAUGGGGAGAUUCAUCGUCAGCGGUCUUGGUACGUGUACGGUUCGCGAUGCCUUGAGACUUCGGUCUCGCGGCACGCGUCCGUAUGUUUUCUAUUGCCUCGAUCGUCGGCGUGCACUUCUCCCCUAGUAGGACGUCGCGACCCGUUGGGUGUCGGUCUACGGCCCGGGCGGUAGCCUGUCUCGCGUUCGCUUCGCGGCGUAACGCGGUUCAGACCCCCGGUUGCCCGACCGGCUGCCCGGCGGUACUCGCAUGGUAUCUGGCCGCAGAUAUUCAAACUGCGUCCGGCCCGUCGCAAGCGAGGCAAGUGUUUUACCGGUUGCACGGAUCUAAAGCCGUCACCGGGCCUUGCCAGCUGUUGGCUGACGGUGUCCUAGGACUGGCCAAGAUACCGGUCGGCGACGCUAUUGCUUUGGGUACUUUCAGGACCCGUCUUGAAACACGGACCAAGGAGUCUAACAUGUGCGCGAGUCAUUGGGAAUAAUUAAUCCUAAAGGCGCAAUGAAAGUGAAGGUCGGCCUCGCGCCAACCGAGGGAGGAUGGGCCGCGUCACGAUGCGGUCCCGCACUCCCGGGGCGUCUCGUUCUCAU